rnacentral:rRNA from 1 species
UAGAGGAAGUAAAAGUCGUAACAAGGUUUCCGUAGGUGAACCUGCGGAAGGAUCAUUAACGAAACGCACCCUCGGGGGGUUGUGCUGGCCUCGCGCAAGUGCACGCCCCCUCUGGCCGUCCGUCCUUCACACCCGUGCACUCACCCGUCGGACAGGGGUGGCCUCCGGGCCCUCCGGUCCGGCGCUUUCACAUCAGCCCACGAACGUACGUCGAAUGCAUCAUUGCGCACGCGCAACCGAAAUACAACUUUUAACAACGGAUCUCUUGGUUCUCGCAUCGAUGAAGAACGCAGCGAAAUGCGAUAAGUAAUGUGAAUUGCAGAAUUCAGUGGAUCAUCGAAUCUUUGAACGCACCUUGCGCUCCUUGGUAUUCCGAGGAGCAUGCCCGUUUGAGCGUCUUGAUAUCAUCAAACGCACCCGCCUUUUCGGCGGGCUUGCGAUUGGACUUGGACGUGCUGCCGGACGCUUUGCGAUCGGCUCGUCUUGAAUGCGUUAGCGGGAUCCAGUCGGCCUCGGACCCACGGCUCUCACUCGGCGUGAUAAGAUCACCCGUCGAGUCGUCCCCGGCCCGCGUUUGCGGAUCCGCUUCCAACCGUCCCACCGCGGACAACACGGAGCAACGGCCCUGCCGCCUUCGACGUCUGACCUCAAAUCGG